rnacentral:rRNA from 1 species
AAACGAAGUGAAUUGAAAUAUCUUAAUAACUUCAGGAAUACAAAUCAAACGAGAUUCUACAAUUAGUGUGAACGAAAAUAGAUGAGCUUAUUAUUUUUCUUAAUUAUAGCGCUAACGCGCAGCUAAGUAAAUUGGAAUUUAAUUCUGUUUGAAAAUAGGGGAACCUUUCUCUAAAGCUAAAUAUGAUGUAUAAGCGAUAGUGAACUAGUACCGAGAGGGAAAUCUCAACCAAAGUAGUUUUAUAAGCAGUUUAAGUCUAAAUAAAAACAAGACAAAAACGUACCUUUUGCAUAAUGGGUCAGCAAGUUAAUGUUAGAUGCGAGCAUUAAAUAUGCCUAGAUAAAACAAUUAUGAAACAAUGAUAAAGUAUCUAAUAUUAGACCCGAAUACUGGUGAUCUUACCAUGAUCAGGGUUAUAAAAGCCCGCACGGUUUAUCGUUGCACAGAUAUCCGAAGAAUUGUGGUAAGUAAGUGAAAGACAAUACUGACUAGUAUAGCUGGUUUUCCGCGAAACCUAUUUAAGUAGGUGAUUUAAUAUAUACCUUAGCAGGUACAUAAUCGACUCUCAGACAAAUAUAGUUUGUAUACAUCGGGGGAUUUGCGAGAAUUCUAUCGGUGAGUAGACGUAAUCGGAAUGGCAAAGGUUUUAUUGAAUAGUCAGACAUAGUACGAUAAGGUAGUAUGUCUAAAGGGAAACAGCCCAAAACAAGAGCUAAUAAGGUUCCAAAAUUAUUAUUAAGUGAAUUAAAGGAAGUAGUUAUGGAAUGCAUUCAGGUAAUAGGCUUAGAAGCGGCCAUUUUUUGAAGACCUCGUAACAGAGCACUGAAUGAUUGAAUUAUUAAAUAUUAAUUCAGCGAACAAGUAAUGGCGCUAAAAAUUACACGGAUCUAAAUAAUAUACCGAAACCUUGUCCUUAUAUUUAACAAGCGCAGUAGCGCUGUUAUAUUUACUUUUUUAGCGCGGUGUGCGCAACUAAGUGUUUAUAAGGGGUAGCGGAACGUUGGGUAAAUCUCAAAUUGUUUUUAUUUUAAAAAUAAUAUUAGAUAUCCCAAGUGACAAUGCUGACAUGAGUAACGAAAAAGGACUAAGUCCUCGUCUUAAGCUUAUGACUAAAUAAAAAGAAACGGCCUCUAAGUUUAUAAUCCCAAAGGAUUUAACGAUGAGAAAUAUCUAUUAUAUAUAGAAGACCUUAUUAACUAUUAAAUGUAACCAAAAUAAGUGGAAUAAAAAGCUGAUAAGAUGAUAUGAAUCUUAUUUAAGGUGUAAUCUUACAUAAAGAUAGUUUAAAACAAUAGGCGUACAGGAAAUAUAUAUAUAUAUAAUUAAGUACCGUAUCUAGAAACUAUUGAUAGUAAGCUAGUGUAGUAUACGAAGACGAAUGAGUCAACAAUCAUUAAGGAACUCGGCAAAUUAACUUGCGUAACUUCGGGAUAAGCAGAGCCAUUCUUAUUUAGUAAUAUAGAGAAAGAAGAGGAGGCAUAGAAUAGUGUUGUACGACUGUUUAAUUAAAACAAAGCACUUUGCAUAAGACUUAAAGUCAAAGUAUUGAGUGUGAUAUCUGCCCUAUAUCGGCUGGCUGACGGAUUUACUGCAUUAUUGAAGUGUGGUUUUGAAGGAACCCCCGAUCAAUGGCGGUCUUAACUCUGAGGAUCCUAAGGUAGCGUAAUACCAUGGCCGUUAAAUGCGGUCCCGCAUGAAUGAUGUCACGAUACAACAGCUGUCUCAAUGAUUGACUCAGUGAAAUUAUAAUAGCAGUGCAGAUACUGCUUACCUCUAGUAAGACGAGAAGACCCUUUGCAGCUUUACUGUUGCUAUUUAUUGGAUAUAACUUAACUGAAUUUUAGCGAAUAAGGUAAUUGAUAAGAUAAAAUUGAAACACCUUUAUUUAGCUAGUUAUAUAAAUGGAAAAAUGUGUAGCGACAUUUUUGUCAAAUAGUCAAUUUAUUUUGAUUAUUAUGUAGACCAUGCGUGCAUUUUUCCGUAAAGCUAAUCCUUAUUUUCAAAAGGAAACAAUUGCUGGUAGACAGUUUAUGCGGGGCACAGAUCCCAUAAGUUUAAUGGCUUAAUCUUGCUUUACUGUUUGACUUACAAGUCUAUCAGUCGCGUAAGCGGGGCAUAUGAUCACAAGAUGCAGAAAGGAAAGGUCUUGGAUUUUUGAAUAAAGUUACGCUAGGGAUAACAGGCUAAUUGCGCCAGAGAGUACAAAUUGGCUGCGCAGUUUGGCACCUCGAUGUCGGCUUGGCUCAUCCACAUGAAUGUAAGAAGCAUGAAGGGUACGACUGUUCGUCGAUUAAAGAGCUACAUGAGCUGGGUUAAAUACGUCGUGAGACAGUAUGGUUUCUAUCUUCUAGAGGAAAUUUAAAUAAAAUAAGGAUAGCCCCUUCGUACGAAAGGAGUUGGGUAUGCCAACCUAUGGAUUACCUGUUGUUUAUGUACCUAAUAUUAACUUAAUCAGUAAAAAUUUAAUUAAGCGCUUUCGCGCAGCUAUUUGACAUUAGACAUUUAUCUGGUCAAUAGGAUUAUCUCUUUGAAAAUUAAGAAACAUUAAUUUCAAUUUUUAAUUGAAAUUAAAUGCUGACUUUCGAACAUUUAACGGUAUAAGACUCUCGAACAUUUAAGGGUAUUAUUUAUGUUUAAAUAAUUUUUCAACAUAGGCAUGGCAGGAAAACUAAGUUGGUUACAGAUAAGUGCUGAAAGCAUCUAGGCACGAAACUAACCUUAAGAUAUU